UUCUGAGAAUGAUGUAUAGCUAUGAGCACAUAACAUGGAAUGAUACAGACUCCAAAGGGCAAAGCUGAGUAUAAAUCAAUGGACAAUGGAGAGAUGCAUGGUGGUCAUGGAAAUGAGGAAAGACGUGAUAGAGUCUUGAAGGACAUGUGGUGUAAAAAAUGUUAUUAAAGAAAUGAAUAAAAGAAAAAAAAGAAGAUAGCCUUGUCACAUGGUGAAGACAAGAAGAUAAAUGAUGGAUGUGCUCUGCUAAUAUCCUUACAAUGCCAUGAGAAUGCAGCAACUCUGGGGAGGACAUGGGGGAGAGUCACAGAGGAUAUAGGCAAGUACCAAUAAGGUAUUGGAUAAUAAACUCAAAUGAAAAAAAUCUUGGAAUAUGUGAACUGUGAAGACAAAUGUGUACAGCUUAAAUUAUAAGAGAGGGAAUCAAUAAGUAAGAGUUUUUGAAUUCUAGUGGCAAGACAAAAGUCAGGAUGACGUUGACUUCUUUGAUGACUGACCAAAUUCUAAGCAUUCCAUUGUGCCUGCUUCCACUGCUUUCAUGGUGAUUGAAACAAAUUGUUCUCAUCUGCCCAUGCUGCCAAGGGAAGUCUUCACAUCCUUGGGGUAGACAUCCCUCCUAAAACUAGCAGAUAUGAGAUCUCUUGACUACUCAUGACCAGGCUUACUCCAUCUACUGAAAUAGUUUUACCUGGAUGUGGCCACUGAACAUGCUACAGCUUCUUGGAACCACAGUUUUCCAUGGGCCUCUGCUGGGAGAAACAGGAUUGGAGCAUCUAUUGACUUCCACCAGCUGUUGCUUGCCAAUUCUGUUCCCUGACAGGAAUCGGCGGGAGAGCUGCGAGGCGAAGAUACCUAAAUGGAUCUCAGAAAGUCAUUUAUCUUUGUGCCCAAGUGAGCCAGAGGUGAAUUCAAAUCAGAAGAGAAGCAAAUGUACAUUCUUGGGGCUCGAAUUUGGGACUUCCCUUGAGAAGGAGAAGAGUUGUGAGCCAGGGUUAUUUGUGUUCAUUGACUUACCAGAAGAUGGUUUAAGGAAAUGGAGUACUUAAGUGGUAAGACAAAGGUCAAACACGAGCUAUGCCUUUGCUAGUAGAACGUACAUCAUGGUGCGCAAGUCCCCAGCAGCACACAGUGGCAGUCUUUGGGGAAUGAGAAGUAGCAUCCUUAGCUUGUGCCUGUGACUUAUUACUGUGACAUGACACUAUUACAUUUUGGUUUUUAGCAUUUUUAAAGAGUAGGUAAUAGUUAUGAGAGAUGAAGAACUCAGAAUUAAGUACUGUAGUUAUACACAGAAGGGUAAUUUGGUUUUGAUGUAUUGGCCUGGGCCUGUUAACUAAUAAUACAAAUUUUUAAGUAGCAUCUCACCAGUACGAAAAAGAGGUAGCAUCAUUAUUAAUGUCUAAACUAUAGUGUGUUUCACACAGGAUUAUGGUAAAGGUCAGGCCAUGUUUCUCUGAAUUAAAAGCUAUUCUGAGCUAUAGCAUUCCUAAUCAACUCAGACCUAAAGGUGCAUAGCUCAGUUAUAAUGAGGCACAAUGAAUUUAAAUAAACUGCAAGAUACUGUAUAGUGAUUUAUAAAU
rnacentral:lncRNA from 1 species